rnacentral:lncRNA from 1 species
GCCAGUUUUUAGGGCCAAUUGACUGACUAAUCCAAGCUUGCCAGCUUGUGGCGGAAAAAUAGAUCCAAACACACAUGCUCCCACAUUUAUGUGAUGACUUUACUCGGGGCCCACACCAUCGCCCUCUGGCCCCUAUUCCUCCAUCCUGAUGAGAUUUCUGGUUGGUUUAUGGUUACAUGGCAACCAACCAGUGUACAUAACGCCUCCCACCCCCAGACCCCCUUAGCUGGGAGACCCCAUGCCCUUUGCCCUCUCCCUUCUUGCUGCCUGGAAGAUGGACCUGGUGCCUAGAGACACGGCAGCUGUCUUGACCAUGGGACACAGCCACGCCCUGAGGAUGGCCGUGCAGGGAGACAGAGGAGGCUGGUUCCUGAAUGAGCGCAUCAACCCCAGACCACUCGUCCACCCUGGACAACUUGUCAGUUAUUAUAUCUUGGAGAUCCUUUCACACCAAUAAUUGUAGAUCUGCCUAUUCUUUCUUUUUUUUUUGAGGAAGAUUAACCCUGAGCUAACAUCUGCCGCCAAUCCUCCUUUUUUUGCUGAUGAAGCCUGGCCAUGAGCCAACAUCUGUGCCCAUCUUCCUCUACUUUAUAUGUGGGACGCCUACCAUAGCAUGGCUUGAUAAGCAGUGCCAUGUCCGCACCCAGGAUCCGAACCUUUGAACCCUGGGCCGAAGAAGUGGAACGUGUGCCCCCAACCGCUGUGCCACCAGGCCAGCCCCUCUGCCUAUUCCUUUUAAUGGCUGAACAGUAUUCCAUUGUGUGAAUAUAGUGCAAUUAAUUUAAUCACCCCAUUGUUGAUGGACAUUUAUGCUGCGGGGGAUUUUAAAAUCAUUCUUGGGUCAGCUGGCCUCUGUGCUGUUUCUGUGUCAGCCAUUGAAGUCUGCAGAGAAAAUACAAACUAAUUAUAUCUGCUGGACCGAGGGAAAUUAAAAAUGAAAAGCCAAUUGCAAACUCUUCUCACUUUUCAGCAUCUCCACGUAAAACAUUCCGAAGUCAGAAAUACAAUUUUUGCUCUACACCACUUUCAAUUAUGCGAGUCACAGUUUCCUUCUCUUGCUGGGGUUUUUGACUCACAGAAGAACAUCCCCCGGGUAUGGCAGGAACGGGAAACAGCACAGACCUUAGGCUGCCUGGGUUGGAAUCUCAGCUUCAUGCUUCGUAGCUGUGUGGACUUGGCAAAGUUACUUAACCCCACUGUGCCUCAUUUUCUCAUCUGUAAAAUGUGGAUAAUAAUUGUACCCAUCUUACAGGGAUGAAGUGAGGAUCAAAUGAGUUAAAAGCUCGAGUUCUUCGGACUGUGACAGGCAGAGAAAAAGCGCUAAGUGCUGGCCGUUAAUAGUCUAGGUGGCCUUGGAAUCAAACCGAGGGGCCAGUUGCUUCUGCCGUGGUGGUGUUGUCCAAGGUCACCACCACAGCAUGGCUGAUGAGUGGUGUAGGUCUGUGGCCGGGAUCUGAACCUGUGAACCCUGGGCCACUGAAGCAGAAUGCACCAAACUUAACCACGAUGCCAUGGGGCCGGCCCCGAGAAUCUGCAUUUUUAAUGUGAUGAAUCUCAGUCAGGUGGUUGUGGACUAUGCUUAAAAAAACAGGCAAGUGGUCAUGGCAAUUACAUUUUUAAAAAUGAUCUUCAAUAGCUGGAUUCUUUCAUUUUCUCCAGAUUACCAGGCUGGUACCUACUUCACUUCCUCCCAGAGCUGUGGGUAGAAGAAAUAUAUGGGAAUCCAAAAUAAUGAUAUUUCAACUAGAGCUCUGUUGUGAUCUGAUACUUGCAAAAUACCCUAAUAAAAGCAAAUAUUACAGACAUUUGAAUAAUGCAAAGUAAAGUAUAUUUUGAAGAUGUUUUGAAAAUAAUGAUGCUAAUACGCUGCCUUGUUUGAAGUGAAGUAUGAGUGCUAUGCAAAGCUCUUUUGUUUAGGGAGACAAUGCUGCACGAUGACAUCAGAG